GAGAUCAUUCCAAAAGUCUUCCAGGAAAUUCCAGCCAAUCAGAGAGGAGGAGGAAGAAGAGUUUCUAGGUCAAGGUGUGCCCAGGGUUAGACCAGAGCCUGAGGUACCAAUACCACUUCAUGUCACGCCGCGUCCUGCUACGCGGUCCAAUACCUCCAUCUAGUGGCUACUUGCCGCCAGUGGUCCUUCUCCUGACACACCAGUCUACAAUCACCAAUCACCAUUCCCUGCUUCAGCCGGGGAUCUCCUACCAGCCGGCGCCAGUUCGUCGUUACGUCUACCCACAUCUACAGAGCUGCACCACUCCUGGUCUUCCCUCCACCUACAGCUUCCAGCGCCAGUCCUGAAUUUGACAAACACUGU